UAUGAAAUAGGUCUAUAAACUAGCCCAUAGACUGCAUUACAAGUAUCUAGCAGUAUGGGACUUGGAAAUGAUUUUCCCAAGCAACUAUAUUUCCUUUCAUUAUAAUUUCGUUCCAGUCCUCAAGCGACAAAGCCACCACCUUUCUUACAAAAGGGACUUGGGAAGUCACUCGGAUUUUAGCGUUCAAUGAUGAGACAGAGACAGUGUAUUUUCAAAGCUCUGAAACCUCUCCUAGAGAAAGUCACAUAUACAGCUUGAAUGUAAAGUCACAAAUAAAAGUUUGCCUCUCAUGUGAUCUUCCUUGGGCAAAAAAUGGUGAUUGUAAAUUCUUCACAGCCAGCUUCAGUCCUGGUGCUAGUUGGUAUGUUCUUAAUUGUCACGGACCCAAAGUGCCAAGAUUCACUUUGCAUAAAUCAAGCUCUACAACAUGGUAUAAAGAACUUCAGAUGAAUGAAGGACUGCAAAAGAAGUUGUCCGAACUUUCAACUCCGAAAAGACGCAACUUUGUGAUACCUGCUGGAGAGUAUGAGCUGCUAGCCACUGAAUUUCUUCCGCCAGAUUUUGAUGAGAAUAAAAAAUAUGCUGUUCUUUUUGACGUCUACGGGGGACCGGGUUCUCAAAAGGUUUGCUUUUUCUUUAGUUUUUUUCAGUUUUC